CCUCCAAGAACUUUCCACCUUGCUUUUGGGGAGACUCAAACUCACAACCUCUCGGUUGGAAGUGGGGAUUGCUUACCAUCAGAGCAACCCCUAUUCAGUCGAAUGAAUUGCAGAAAUUUAACAUGCAUACAUUAACCCAUACGUAAAAUAUAUCAGUUCCCAAAAUGGAACAUGAAUCAGAUACUCCAACAUGAAUGUAAGAAAAAGAGAAGAAAGCGAGAGAGAAAAAAUUGUAAACCUGUGAGGCGCAGAGGAAAGUAGGCUAAGCAAAAAAUCUAAUGGACUUUUUUGAAAAAAGAAAAGUUUUGACAGAAACAAGAGAAAUAUAUUAUAGUGAUUAGACAAUUUGAUGUACAUUUUUAUAGAGUGACAUAAAAGGAACCAAAAUAUGGUUUUGAGAUAAUUAAGAAAAUAUACAACCUACAUUAAUACUAUAAUUACUACUAUAAGAACGAAACUGAAAUGUUAAAUUUUACAGUCUGCAUUAGCAUUAUUAGUACAGAGUUGAAACUGAAAUAUGAAAACAACUUCUUUUCUCUACAGGUUUAGAUCAUCUUCUUUAUAUUAUACAUGCAUUACUAUUACAGUUUUUCUUACCAGCUUGUUGAGACUGUUAAGGUUCUUAUAACAGUCCAACCAUUACAUCUAAUUAAUAGAGCAAAUAAAAAGCUUUAAACAAUUUCAGUUUAUGGCCAUCUGAACGGCCAUAUUAUUAUUUCCUUGUAUUUUACUUGUUCCUUUGUUGUUAUUUUUAUCUAUAUUUAAAUUAUGCAUAAAAAUAUUCUUGAAU
rnacentral:lncRNA from 1 species